rnacentral:lncRNA from 11 species
GGGCAUCAAUGGAUCGCCAGGCCAUGCGGACGCCUAUCCCAGCCUCCGCAUGAGACAGGUCUAGGUCCAAAAGGUGUGGAUUUUUAUAGUUCAAGCUUCACAGUUAUUUUAAAACUGAUAAUGAAGGGCAUGUGUGCCACGUUUGGUCCAUAUCUAUCAAACAAGCACACACUGAGAAAAAACACCUUUGAAAAUCAAGAAGAAGAAGAAGAAAAAGAAGAAGAAGAAAUCCCACUGCCAAUUCUGUUUCCAUCCCAGUCUCCCCAUCUCUGUGUCUACUAAUGCCAGCUUUUUUGGACUACAAACAAUAAGCAUAUUAUAGGCAACAUUUAUAUUUAUUGGAUGUGAAAGCUGAUUGACUUUUUGCUUUCUUUCUAUCACAAACGAAACAUUUGUUUCUAAUGAUGCAUGUACACAUUAGAAUUAAACAACUUGAAGGCAUGGAACCCCAUGUGGAAUGCAUAUACAUUAUAUGCAUUUGACCCCAUUUCAACUGCCAUGGCUCAAAGCUACAGAAUGAUGGGAAAUGUAGUUUGCUGAGACUUUAGCACUACUUGGCAGCAAAGCUGAGGCCCUUGUGAAAUUAGAGCACCAUAUUGCCAACCUAUCCA